AUGGGGGGAUAUGGGGUUAUAUGGGGUUAUAUGGGGUGAUAUGGGGUUAUAUGGGAUAUAUGGGGGGAUAUGGGGUUAUAUGGGGUUAUAUGGGGGGAUAUAUAGGGUUCUAUGGGGUUCUAUGGGGUUCUAUGGGGUUAUAUGGGGUUACAUGUGGAGAUAUGGGAUUAUAUGGGGAGAUAUGGGGGAAUAGGGGGAUAUAUGGGGUUAUAUGGGGGGUAUAUGUGGGUCUCUAUGGGUCCCUAUGGGUCUCUAUGGGUCCCUAUGGGUCUCUAUGGGGUCCCUAUGUGUCCCUAUGGGUCUCUAUGGGGUCUAUAAGGUUGCUAUGGGGUUUCUAUAGGUCCCUAUGUGUCUCUAUGGGUCCCUAUGGGCCUCUAUGGGGUCCCUAUGGGGUUUCUAUAGGGUUUCUAUGGGUCCUUAUGGGGUCUCUAUGGGAUCUAUAGGUCUCUAUGGGGUCUCUAUGGGGUCUAUAGGGUCUCUAUGGGGUUUCUAUGGGUCGCUAUGGGGUGUCUAUGGGUCUCUAUGGGAUCUAUGGGUCGCUAUGGGGUUUCUAUGGGUCGCUAUGGGUCUCUAUGGGGUGUCUAUGGGUCUCUAUGGGGUCUCUAUGGGGUGUCUAUGGGUCGCUAUGGGGUGUCUAUGGGAUCUAUGGGUCGCUAUGGGGUGUCUAUGGGUCUCUAUGGGUCUCUAUGGGUCGCUAUGGGUCGCUAUGGGUCGCUAUGGGUCUCUAUGGGUCGCUAUGGGGUCUCUAUGGGUCGCUAUGGGUCUCUAUGGGUCGCUAUGGGUCUCUAUGGGUCGCUAUGGGUCCCUAUGGGUCCCUAUGGGUCUCUAUGGGUCUCUAUGGGUCUCUAUGGGUCGCUAUGGGUCUCUAUGGGUCUCUAUGGGUCCCUAUGGGUCCCUAUGGGUCUCUAUGGGUCGCUAUGGGUCCCUAUGGGUCUCUAUGGGUCUCUAUGGGUCUCUAUGGGUCUCUAUGGGUCCCUAUGGGUCUCUAUGGGUCUCUAUGG
rnacentral:lncRNA from 1 species